GGGAGAAGAGGCGAGGGGGGCGGGGGAGCGGGAGGCGGCGAAGAGGGGCGGGGGGAGGCCCUGCGCAUGCGUGCCAGCGCCCAUGCAAAUCUGCUGUACAUCCAGGGAGCGAAGUGGGAUGAUCUGUCACUACACCUGCAGCACCACGCUCGGAGGACAGCUCCUGCUCGCAGCUUCCAGACUCAGGAAGCCUGAGGGGAAGGAAGGAAGUACGGGCGAAAUCAUCAGAUUGGCUUCCCAGAUUUGGGGAUCUGAAGCGGGCCCACGUCUUCCGGCCAACUUCCAUUGAACUUCCAGCACUCGAAAGGGACCGAAAUGGAGAGCAAAGGCAGGAAAGAAUAUGAAGAGACCCUGAAGAGAGGAGAUCCCAUUGGACUAAGGAGAUGGAAAGAUGCGCUGGUGUCAAGUUCGGAGAUGAUAUGGAGGGGAGGGGAUUUGAGAUGCAGAGAACUGUCAGAGCAAGUGUGUGGGGGAGGAAGGAGGAAGAUCAGACAUGCCUACGGAAUAGCAAGUAAUCAAGUCAUUGAUUUAUCUGGAUCUGUGGUCCUUAUCAAGAUUCAUAAAUUGAUGGUGCCAUUUUUAGAGAAGUGUAAGAUCUGAGGCCAAGAAGUCUGUAUUUCACAAAAUCAAUAAUUCAAGAAAAUAUGGCAAGGGACACGUGAUCAUCUGCUAAAUGCAUAGUAUAGAAUGUAAUGGAACAUGAGUAAUUGUGACCCAAACCUCCAUCUUCAGCCUUCAAGCAAGAAGAAAUGAUUUGUUUUAAAGAUGGGUAUGUAAAUGAUUUUUGACAAAUUUCAAGCAGCACUUGACUCCUGUGGGCUUUUCGAUUUGGAAUGAAUACUUGUCUGUAUUAUCCAACUUCUUUGUACUUCUGGAAAAAAACUAUUUUGUUGCUGAAAAGAAAAACCUUCAAGUUUUAAUAAACCCUCCUGAAUCCUCUGCAGUUCCUAUUGACAUAUUAACAUAAAUUUUGGUUAAGGACAAAUAAAUUCGAAUUGUAAAGAUAUAAUUUCCUGAGAACUGCAUGUAUGGUCUGAAUGAAUGAACUCCUCUAUAAGGGACUAACAAUGUACAAGCCAGUUUAGGCUUUAAACAUUUUUUUCCCUAGUUUCAGACUUUUCUCUUUAUAUUCCCUCUACAUCCUCUCACUAUAUAUUCUGAUUCUGAUUGUGGUUCUAUACAUAUGCUGGUUUCAGAAUAAAGUAUCGAGACUUAACAUUCAUUCUAUGAUUUUUGCGUGAAGUGGAUAUUUGUAGCUUGAGUUUCAGAUCGAGUGCAGUGGUAAGGUGGAAAGAGAUGGAAGUACCAGGGUCAGAAUCCACUCUGUUAAGGGUCACUCUAACUUAAUCGCAAGUGGCCUUGGGCAAUUAAAAAAACCCUCCUGGGUGUCUAGGUGGCUCAGUUGUUUAAGUAUCUGCCUUCAG
rnacentral:lncRNA from 1 species